rnacentral:sRNA from 1 species
UUGUCGUUAGCGUGGCAUACGAUGGAAG